UGGAGAAUCCCGUGAACCAUCGAGUUUCUGAACGCAAGUUGCGCCUGAAGCCAUUAAGCCGAUGGUGACCUGCCUGGGCGUCACACGCCGUUGGCCCCCCCCCGGCACCUCCCUUGGAAGCGUCGGUGAGCGGACAAUGGCUUUCAGUACAUCACCACACGUGGUUGGCACAAAUGUUUAGUCCCCGGCGACGAACGCCACGACAAUCGUUGGUUGUCAAACCUCAGUUGCUUGUUGUGCACUUUCACCGAGCUCUGGGCGGCUCACGAUGCUCACUGCUUUACUUCGGCGGAGCCUUCAACGCGACCCCAGGUCAGGCAGGUUUACCCACUAAA
rnacentral:rRNA from 1 species